UUUUUUUUUAAAUCUUUUUUUUUUAUUUGGUAUGAUUCUCUCAAUUUUUUAAUUGGCGUUGUUCAUUUUGUUAUUAACUAAGAAACUUUGAUGCCGAUGUCGUUUUGUUGUUAAGAUGCUUUAUAUGGCAUCUUGGUUUUAAUGCUGGAAUAUGGCAUUUUGCCAGGCGUUUUAAUGCAAAUUCUUGCUUUGGAUUCUCUGGAUUCCUUAUUGUUUUCUCGUAUUUUUGUUUUUAAAGUUUUUAAGGAAUUAUUUUAAAUAAAAUAUCGGAUCUUGUAUUCUUGUUUGACCGCACAUUUAAAGCAGGAAGCAGUCGCUGGUAUAUUCGUAAGGAAAAGUUCAAUUGUUGUGAUCAUUAAUUUAAUAUGGAACAUUAUACUAGUCAAAAUAGCUAUUCAUAUAAACCUUGCAAAUAUUUCUCCAAGCAUUAAUUUCCCCCACUGGAAUCAAAGUGGGUCGUUGCAAGCUCAUUAGGGGGACGAGGUCAAAAUAGUUGGCGUCCGUCCCUCAAUAGCUGUGGUGCGUUUGCACUAGCCAGUGGCCAUUGAUGUGGAGGCGGCAGCCAUACUAUUUUUUGUUUGUACUGAAAUGAUUCUGUUACCGUCAGAAAUGAGUUGUCUGAUGCGUCUGUGGGAGCACCUCGGUGUUUUCCUGAGGCCACCACCGCUAUUUUUUUUUUUUUUUUUAAUUUCAGUUUCCUAUGAUGUUUCUUCAAAAUGCUCAUGAGACUACAUAUUAUGUUGAAGACAAUUGAAUAAUGAGUGCGGAUAAGAGGUUGAGCUCUAACACAAUAGUAACUUUGCUCUUUUGUGAGCAGAAGGUCAUGAUUUUGAGUUGUGAGAAUAGUCUUUCUGUAAAAUAUAAAGGGAAACCUAUGUAGGAUAAAUGACCCCUUCCUCCGAUGAUUCAAUCUUUAGCUGUUUGAUAUGCUCAAUUUGUUUGUGCUUUUGAGAAGAUUUUGAGGCAGUUUUUUAAAGCAAUAAGAGAUUUUUAUGGUUAAAAGGUAGUCAUUGUUUACUGAGGACCUUGGAUUGUCUCAAACACCUCAUUAUAGAACAGUUCUAUCAUAUGUGUGUCCAUCACAAACUAAUCAUUCAUCCUUACUCAGCUAGCUAAUAUAUUCUCUAUUGAAAGUCAUCACUAAUGGGAAAUGUGACACUUGC
rnacentral:misc_RNA from 1 species